UUCAUGUUUACGGUAUAGGGUUUAGGGGACAAGGGUGAAGGGUUAAGGGUACUUGGUUUAAUGGUUUGAGUUUAAGGUUUAGAGGUUGGAGAUUAAGGGAUAGGGGUUUAGGGGUUAAGGUAUAAGGCUGGUUUUAAGGUUUGUGGACUAGGGAUUAUGGGUUCAAGGAUUGGGGUUUAGGGGUUGGGGCUAAGGUUUAGGGUUUAAGUGUUAAAGGGUUUAGGGUUUCAGAGUAAGUGGUUUAAGGUUUUUUGGUUAAAGGUAUUGAGAGUUUAGGGUUUAGAAUAAUUAGUGUUUUUUAAUUU
rnacentral:lncRNA from 1 species